rnacentral:rRNA from 1 species
UACAGAGGGGGCAAGCGUUGUCCGGAAUUAUUGGGCGUAAAGCGCGCGCAGGCGGUUCCUUAAGUCUGAUGUGAAAGCCCCCGGCUCAACCGGGGAGGGUCAUUGGAAACUGGGGAACUUGAGUGCAGAAGAGAAGAGCGGAAUUCCACGUGUAGCGGUGAAAUGCGUAGAGAUGUGGAGGGACACCAGUGGCGAAGGCGGCUCUUUGGUCUGUAACUGACGCUGAGGCGCGAAAGCGUGGGGAGCGAACAGG